UAAUCAGAGCUGUUUCAGGGCAUGAAAUUCUCUGCUGCAGAGGCAUGGAGGAAGUGAAAUAAUUUCUGCCUAGCACUUGGCCCCUUGCAGCCUGUCUCGUUCCUGCUCAUGCAAGCCUUGGAAAGAUGGGACAGGGCUCCCAGGAAUGUUGUGUCUUCCACUUGGACUGCAGCUGAGCUCCAGGGCCAAAAUGGGUGAUGAUUUAUUGCAACUGCUCCGUAAUAAGCUGCUGUGAGCCCAGAAUGAGCUGCUGUUUUGCAAUGCUGGGGUUUUUUAUUUUUUUUUUCCUCCUUCUUAAAGCUUGAUUUUGCUUUCAGUUUUGUGUGGAGGAAGGAGCUGGAUGUUUUCUCCGAGUGGAGCUGCUGCAAGGGCCUUUCCUGCUGCUGUCACCAGUCCCAGUGGAUGCUCAGCUGCCUUCAGGUGUGAGCUGGCAGUGGCUGUCCCUGUGGGUGCAGACUGGUGACCCAGGCCCUGCCUGGGGAGGAAAGCAGCUGCAAGAGAGCUGGGAAAUUCCUGGUGCUGUGCUGGUCCUGGGGAAUGCUGCUGGCUGGAUUUAUGGGAAGGUGAGUGGUUAUCUCCUCCCUGCCCUUCUCUCACCUCUCUGGGCCGUACAGCAGCUCUGAAUGUGGUCCCUGUGUCCUCCCAUCGAGGUCAGAGCUGAGCCUGGACCUGCCCCAAAUCCCUUCUGUCCCCCAGAGUUUGAAGUACUGCUCUGACAAGGAGCUUGACACAACAAAGUGAGCUGUGCUCCAGCCAGAGCCAGAAAGUUUCAUGUUCAGAUAUUUGAAUCUGUCAUUUCCAGGAGACCAUAAAAUCCCUUUUUAAAUAACGCGUGCGUGUGUUUCUGCAGCAGAAAAGCCUUUUCUGUACAAGUC
rnacentral:lncRNA from 1 species